rnacentral:rRNA from 1 species
UAACACGUGGGUAACCUGCCCAAGAGAUCGGGAUAACACCUGGAAACAGAUGCUAAUACCGGAUAACAACAGAUGAUGCCUAUCAACUGUUUAAAAGAUGGUUCUGCUAUCACUCUUGGAUGGACCUGCGGUGCAUUAGCUAGUUGGUAGGGUAACGGCCUACCAAGGCGAUGAUGCAUAGCCGGGUUGAGAGACUGAUCGGCCACAUUGGGACGGAGACACGGCCCAAACUCCUACGGGAGGCAGCAGUU